rnacentral:rRNA from 1 species
CCCUUAGAUGCUCUGGGCCGCACGCGCGCUACACUGGUCGAUGCAACGAGUUUCUUUCCUUGGCCGACAGGCCUGGGCAAUCUUUGAACAUCGAUCGUGAUCGGGAUAGAUUCUUGUAAUUUUUGAUCUUAAACGAGGAAUUCCUAGUAAACGCAAGUCAUCAGCUUGCAUUGAUUACGUCCCUGCCCUUUGUACACACCGCCCGUCGCACCUACCGAUUGAAUGGUCCGGUGAAAUCUCGGGACGGCGGCUUGGUCGCUUGCGUCCGACUGCUGAAACUUGAUUAAACCAUNUNAUUUAUNGGAAGGUGAANUCGUANCA